GUGAACAAAUUACCUAACCCCACCCUGAUCGUCCUCUUCAGUAAAACUGGGAUAACGCCGCCUAGUUCCUAAGGCAGAAUGAAUGAAACGUCAUUUUGCUGCGCUCGGAAUAAAACCCAAAUCCCUAAUCACGGCCUGCAGGGCCCUGCAAGAUUCGGACCCUGCCGAUCAGCUGGCCAUGGCCUCUACUUUGCUGCCCCUUGGUUCCCGUGCUUUAGCCACACUGGCCCUCAUGUCUGUUCCCUUCACACGCCUCACUCACGCCCACCUAAGGGCCCUCUGUCGCCUUCAUCACUGUAACACAGGGCCUCCCUGAUGGUCCAGUGGUUAAGAAUCUGCCUUGCAAUGCAAGGGACAUUGCUUCGGUCCCUGAUCCAGGAAGAUCUCACACGCUGCGGGGCAACUAAGCCGGUGCACCACCACUACCGAGUCAGUGUGCGGCAACUCCUGACACUCAUGCGCCUGGAGCCUGUGGAGGAGAACCCACUGCAGUGAGAAGCCUGCGCGCUGCAGCGAAGAGUAGCCCCCACUGGCAGCAGCUAGAGAAAGCCCAAAUGCAGCGACAAAUAGCCACCAUGACCAAAAAAUUAAAUAAAUAAAUCUUUGUUUAAAAAAAAUUUUUUUUAAGUGCAUUGAAUUAGAGAAAAAAAAUAAAACACCUCAAAACCCCAGGGUAAAGCAA